rnacentral:rRNA from 1 species
AGCGAACGCUGGCGGCAGGCCUAACACAUGCAAGUCGAACGGCUCUUCGGAGCAGUGGCGGACGGGUGAGUAACGCGUGGGAACGUGCCCUUUGGUACGGAACAACUGAGGGAAACUUCAGCUAAUACCGUAUGUGCCCCUCUUCUUAGCGGAAGGGGUGGGAAGGAUUAUCGCCAUUGAGCGGCCCGCGUUGGAUUAGGUAGUUGGUGGGGUAAAGGCCGUACCAAGCCUACGAUCCAUAGCGGUCUGAGAGGAUGAUCAGCCACACUGGGACUGAGACACGGCCCAGACUCUACGGGAGGCAGCAGUGGGGAAGUCUUGCGCAAUGGGCGAAAGCCUGACGCAGCCAUGCCGCGUGUAUGAU